GCACCGCUAGCUUAGCGGUUCAGAGCACCAAGAGUAAUGACCUUGGGGGCGGUGGUUCGAGUCCACUGCGGUGCACCG
rnacentral:tRNA from 1 species